GUUCAGAUGAUGAAUUUAACCGUUCAACUGCUGAAUGAUACAGACAUGAACUAAUAAAAAACUUAAUUCUGAUAGAG